rnacentral:misc_RNA from 1 species
GAUGAAGAACGUAGCGAAAUGCGAUAAGUAAUGUGAAUUGCAGAAUUCAGUGAAUCAUCGAGUCUUUGAACGCACAUUGCGCCCCCUGGUAUUCCGGGGGGCAUGCCUGUCCGAGCGUCAUUGCUGCCCUCAAGCACGGCUUGUGUGUUGGGCCUCCGUCCUCCUCCCGGGGGACGGGCCCGAAAGGUAGCGGCGGCACCGCGUCCGGUCCUCGAGCGUAUGGGGCUUCGUCACCCGCUCUUGUAGGCCCGGCCGGCGCUUGCCGACACAUCAAUCUUUUUUCCAGGUUGACCUCGGAUCAGGUAGGGAUACCCGCUGAACUUAAGCAUAUCAAUAAGCGGAGGA